UCCCUGGUGGUCCAGUGGUUAAGACAAUGCACUUCCAAUGCAGGGGGUGCAGGUUCAAUCCCUGCUCAGGGAA